AGAGUUUGAUCCUGGCUCAGGAUGAACGCUGGCGGCGUGCUUAACACAUGCAAGUCGAACGAACCUUCGGGUUAGUGGCGGACGGGUGAGUAACGCGUGGGAAUCUACCCUCAGGAGGGGGAUAACGGCUGGAAACGGCCGCUAAUACCCCAUAUGCCGAGAGGUGAAAUGAAUUUCGCCUGAGGAUGAGCCCGCGUCUGAUUAGCUUGUUGGUGAGGUAAUGGCUCACCAAGGCCACGAUCAGUAGCUGGUCUGAGAGGAUGAUCAGCCACACUGGGACUGAGACACGGCCCAGACUCCUACGGGAGGCAGCAGUGGGGAAUUUUCCGCAAUGGGCGAAAGCCUGACGGAGCAACGCCGCGUGAGGGAUGAAGGCCUCUGGGCUGUAAACCUCUUUUCUCAAGGAAGAAGAUCUGACGGUACUUGAGGAAUAAGCCACGGCUAAUUCCGUGCCAGCAGCCGCGGUAAUACGGGAGUGGCAAGCGUUAUCCGGAAUUAUUGGGCGUAAAGCGUCCGCAGGCGGCCUUUCAAGUCUGCUGUUAAAACGUGGAGCUUAACUCCAUCAAGGCAGUGGAAACUGUUGGGCUUGAGUGUGGUAGGGGCAGAGGGAAUUCCCGGUGUAGCGGUGAAAUGCGUAGAUAUCGGGAAGAACACCAGUGGCGAAGGCGCUCUGCUGGGCCAUAACUGACGCUCAUGGACGAAAGCCAGGGGAGCGAAAGGGAUUAGAUACCCCUGUAGUCCUGGCCGUAAACGAUGAACACUAGGUGUCGGGGGAAUCGACCCCCUCGGUGUCGUAGCCAACGCGUUAAGUGUUCCGCCUGGGGAGUACGCACGCAAGUGUGAAACUCAAAGGAAUUGACGGGGGCCCGCACAAGCGGUGGAGUAUGUGGUUUAAUUCGAUGCAACGCGAAGAACCUUACCAGGGUUUGACAUCCUGCGAACCUCUAAGAAAUUGGAGGGUGCCUUCGGGAACGCAGUGACAGGUGGUGCAUGGCUGUCGUCAGCUCGUGUCGUGAGAUGUUGGGUUAAGUCCCGCAACGAGCGCAACCCACGUUUUUAGUUGCCAGCAUUUAGUUGGGCACUCUAGAGAGACCGCCGGUGAUAAACCGGAGGAAGGUGUGGAUGACGUCAAGUCAUCAUGCCCCUUACAUCCUGGGCUACACACGUACUACAAUGCUACGGACAAAGGGCAGCAAACUCGCGAGGGCAAGCAAAUCCCAUAAACCGUGGCUCAGUUCAGAUCGUAGGCUGCAACUCGCCUACGUGAAGGAGGAAUCGCUAGUAAUCGCAGGUCAGCAUACUGCGGUGAAUACGUUCCCGGGCCUUGUACACACCGCCCGUCACACCAUGGAAGUUGGCCACGCCCGAAGUCGUUACUCCAACCCUUGUGGAGGAGGACGCCGAAGGUGGGGCUGAUGACUGGGGUGAAGUCGUAACAAGGUAGCCGUACCGGAAGGUGCGGCUG
rnacentral:rRNA from 1 species